GACGAACGCUGGCGGCGUGCUUAACACAUGCAAGUCGAACGGAAAGGCCCUGCUUUUGUGGGGUGCUCGAGUGGCGAACGGGUGAGUAACACGUGAGUAACCUGCCCUUGACUUUGGGAUAACUUCAGGAAACUGGGGCUAAUACCGGAUAGGAGCUCCUGCUGCAUGGUGGGGGUUGGAAAGUUUCGGCGGUUGGGGAUGGACUCGCGGCUUAUCAGCUUGUUGGUGGGGUAGUGGCUUACCAAGGCUUUGACGGGUAGCCGGCCUGAGAGGGUGACCGGCCACAUUGGGACUGAGAUACGGCCCAGACUCCUACGGGAGGCAGCAGUGGGGAAUAUUGCACAAUGGGCGGAAGCCUGAUGCAGCAACGCCGCGUGCGGGAUGACGGCCUUCGGGUUGUAAAACGCUUUCGCCUGUGACGAAGCGUGAGCGACGGUAAUGGGUAAAGAAGCACCGGCUAACUACGUG
rnacentral:rRNA from 1 species